rnacentral:rRNA from 1 species
UUGACCUCGGAUCAGGUAGGGAUACCCGCUGAACUUAAGCUAU